UACGUAGGGUCCGAGCGUUGUCCGGAAUUAUUGGGCGUAAAGGGCUCGUAGGCGGUUUGUCGCGUCGGGAGUGAAACACGGGGCUUAACCCCGUGCCUGCUUCCGAUACGGGCAGACUAGAGGUAUGCAGGGGAGAACGGAAUUCCUGGUGUAGCGGUGAAAUGCGCAGAUAUCAGGAGGAACACCGGUGGCGAAGGCGGUCUCUGGACAGUUCCUGACGCUGAGGCACGAAGGUCAGGGGAGCAAACGGG
rnacentral:rRNA from 1 species